rnacentral:rRNA from 1 species
GACGAACGCGGCGGCGUGCUUAACACAUGCAAGUCGAACGGAAAGGCUCCAGCUUGCUGGAGUACUCGAGUGGCGAACGGGUGAGUAACACGUGGGUAAUCUGCCCUGCACUCUGGGAUAAGCCUGGGAAACUGGGUCUAAUACUGGAUAUGACCUUUCUCCUUAUGGGGUUUGGUGGAAAGUUUUCGGUGUAGGAUGAGCCCGCGGCCUAUCAGCUUGUUGGUGGGGUGAUGGCCUACCAAGGCGACGACGGGUAGCCGGCCUGAGAGGGUGAUCGGCCACAUUGGGACUGAGAUACGGCCCAGACUCCUACGGGAGGCAGCAGUGGGGAAUAUUGCACAAUGGGCGGAAGCCUGAUGCAGCGACGCCGCGUGAGGGAUGACGGCCUUCGGGUUGUAAACCUCUUUCAGCAGGGACGAAGCGUAAGUGACGGUACCUGCAGAAGAAGCACCGGCUAACUAUGUGCCAGCAGCCGCGGUAAUACGUAGGGUGCGAGCGUUGUCCGGAAUUACUGGGCGUAAAGAGCUCGUAGGCGGUUUGUCACGUCGUCUGUGAAAUCCUAGGGCUUAACCCUGGACGUGCAGGCGAUACGGGCUGACUUGAGUACUACAGGGGAGACUGGAAUUUCUGGUGUAGCGGUGGAAUGCACAGAUAUCAGGAAGAACACCGAUGGCGAAGGCAGGUCUCUGGGUAGUAACUGACGCUGAGGAGCGAAAGCAUGGGUAGCGAACAGG